rnacentral:rRNA from 1 species
CACUCCUGCGGGAGGCAGCAGUGGGGAAUAUUGGACAAUGGGCGCAAGCCUGAUCCAGCCAUGCCGCGUGAGUGAUGAAGGCCCUAGGGUUGUAAAGCUCUUUCACCGGUGAAGAUAAUGACGGUAACCGGAGAAGAAGCCCCGGCUAACUUCGUGCCAGCAGCCGCGGUAAUACGAAGGGGGCUAGCGUUGUUCGGAUUUACUGGGCGUAAAGCGCACGUAGGCGGACUAUUAAGUCAGGGGUGAAAUCCCGGGGCUCAACCCCGGAACUGCCUUUGAUACUGGUAGUCUUGAGUUCGAGAGAGGUGAGUGGAAUUCCGAGUGUAGAGGUGAAAUUCGUAGAUAUUCGGAGGAACACCAGUGGCGAAGGCGGCUCACUGGCUCGAUACUGACGCUGAGGUGCGAAAGCGUGGGGAGCAAACAGGAUUAGAAACCCCAGUAGUCCCAU